GUGCCAGCAGCCGCGGUAAUACGGGGGGUGCAAGCGUUGUUCGGAAUUAUUGGGCGUAAAGCGCGUGUAGGCGGUCUGAUUAGUCUGAUGUGAAAGCCCUGGGCUCAACCCAGGAAGUGCAUUGGAUACUGUCAGACUUGAAUACGGGAGAGGGUAGUGGAAUUCCUAGUGUAGGAGUGAAAUCCGUAGAUAUUAGGAGGAACACCGGUGGCGAAGGCGGCUACCUGGACCGAUAUUGACGCUGAGACGCGAAAGCGUGGGUAGCAAACAGGAUUAGAUACCCUGGUAGUCC
rnacentral:rRNA from 1 species